UACGAAGGGGGCUAGCGUUGUUCGGAUUUACUGGGCGUAAAGCGCACGUAGGCGGAUCUUUAAGUCAGAGGUGAAAUCCCAAGGCUCAACCUUGGAACUGCCUUUGAUACUGGGGAUCUUGAGUCCGGGAGAGGUGAGUGGAACUGCGAGUGUAGAGGUGAAAUUCGUAGAUAUCGGGAGGAACACCAGUGGCGAAGGCGACUUCCUGGACCUGUUCUGACGCUGAGGAGCGAAAGCGUGGGGAGCGAUCCGG
rnacentral:rRNA from 1 species